GACGAACGCUGGCGGCGUGCCUAAUACAUGCAAGUGGAACGCAUUGGUAACACCGGACUUGCUCCAGUGUUACUAAUGAGUCGCGAACGGGUGAGUAACGCGUAGGUAACCUGCCUGAUAGCGGGGGAUAACUAUUGGAAACGAUAGCUAAUACCGCAUAAGAGGAGUUAACUCAUGUUAACUGUUUAAAAGAAGCAACGGCUUCACUAUCAGAUGGACCUGCGUUGUAUUAGCUAGUAGGUAGGGUAACGGCCUACCUAGGCACCGAUACAUAGCCGACCUGAGAGGGUGAACGGCCACACUGGGACUGAGACACGGCCCAGACUCCUACGGGAGGCAGCAGUAGGGAAUCUUCGGCAAUGGACGCAAGUCUGACCGAGCAACGCCGCGUGAGUGAAGACGGUUUUCGGAUCGUAAAGCUCUGUUGUAGGGGAAGAACGUGUGUAAGAGUGGAAAGCUUACA
rnacentral:rRNA from 1 species